rnacentral:rRNA from 1 species
AGCGAACGCUGGCGGCGUGCCUAACACAUGCAAGUCGAACGUGAAAAGGGAAACCUGAGUAAAGUGGCGUACGGGUGAGUAACGCGUAGGUAAUCUACCCCAGAAUCUGGAAUAACCUGCCGAAAGGCGGGCUAAUACUGGAUAGAGCGAGGGAACUCGUAAGAGAGUUUUUCGGGAAAGGGAGCCCGCAAGGGCCUUCGUUCUGGGAUGAGCCUGCGUCUCAUUAGCUAGUUGGUAAGGUAACGGCUUACCAAGGCGAUGAUGAGUAGCUGGUCUGAGAGGAUGAUCAGCCACACUGGAACUGAAACACGGUCCAGACUCCUACGGGAGGCAGCAGUGGGGAAUCUUGCGCAAUGGACGAAAGUCUGACGCAGCCACGCCGCGUGAGUGAAGAAGGCCUUCGGGUUGUAAAGCUCUGUCGGAUGGGACGAACAUCUUCAUAGUGAAUAGCUAUGAGGACUGACGGUACCAUCAAAGGAAGCACCGUCUAACUCCGUG